rnacentral:tRNA from 2 species
GGAGAGUUGGCCGAGCGGUAAGGCAACGCGGUGCUAACGCGUCGAGUCCUUCGGGACGCACAGGUUCGAUCCCUGUACUCUCCGCCA